CGAACAUUGGGGUCAAAACUGUGAAAAAUUUCUCUUUCGUUCUUUUUUUCGGGAAGCUGAUCGAUCAAUCGAAAAUUCCUGAUUAGACAACCUCAACUCUCGGUGGUAACGGUCCUGCUGAUAGCUCGUCGUCCCGUUUUGCCGCUCCCUGAAAGGUAACGUCCUAUUCCUGUAAGCUUAAGAUUGCUUCUGCUUCAUCUCACUAUUCUGUAGCCCUAAGCAAUUUGAGAUUAUCUUGUAUGCUGGGCUGACUGCUGUAGAGGUUUCAAAGACCAUAUAAGUUUUUUUUUUAGUGAAAAGUUUUGGAUGUAUUGUUAUGUUAGGAUUAAUUCUUAUUCGGAUUGUAUCACGUCGUUUCCGUCUAUUCAUUUUUUUAUCUUGGUUGCAUAAUCUAUCAUCCACUUUUGGUGUUAUGGAUUAAUCUUUGGCCUAAUGUCUCUCUUGGCGUAUUGCUUGUGGCUAGAAUGAUUGGUUUUCUAGCUAAAGUCUGUUGCUUUUAGUUUAUUUAGCAGUUUCUAGCCAGAUGCUGUUUGUUUCGUAGUUGUUGUUUGACUGUGUUGAUCAUGUUGUUACUACUAGUUUCUGUCACGGCUGUCGAGCUAGCAGUGUUGCUAGUAGGACCACCUCGUAGGCUCCUUUGGUUUAUUAUAUACCAAAGGGAAAAUGAGGGUAAGGUCCAAAAAACGUACCAAAAAUCCUAGGAUAUCUCAACCGUUUCGUUCGACUCGGUCGGAAAGAGGAAGAGGAUUGAAACAUUCUGUGGUUUUACUUGCCGUCACUAUUUGUCGUUAUCGUAACUGUUGAACCGGUAAUGUUCCAUCUUGUGGCCUCCGUUUUCCUUAUUCUUUCUUUUCUCUAUUCCAUAGUCGGGGUAAUUUUCUGAUUUUCAUGUCGUUACUCAAGAUUCCAUUUUUCAUUUUGGUGGGUGUUGGUUUUGCCUGGGUUGAAUUAUAUUCAAAGUUUGAAUAUUGUCAUGAGAUCAGUGUUUUCUUUCCUUAUAAUCGGAAGAUUUAAAGACUCCCCAUGCAUAUGAGCAUGUUAAAAAAUGUGUGUAUAUGUGAUGGCGUUGCAUUCUACAAUUCGCGUUGUGUUUCUAAUUGUGUUAAUGAAAGAUGGUUACUGCCUCUGUUUCAGGCAUCUGUUCGUGCUAGAGAAUGUCUUGAAGUCAUGUUUUAGGUGUUGAUUGGUUCUCCGUUGCGAUUGAGUGCCAAUAGAUGUAAAAUGUGUGAUUUCCCUGAGAAGAUUUUAUGUUAAAAUCCUAGCUUUGGUUUAAAUAUUUUCCAAGAAAAAGCCUUUGUUUGGGCUAUGACCCAACUAUUUAUUGUCCUUUAAUGAGUCUUCUCAACGUGGGCUAAUCUUAUACCUAUGUGCAUAAGCAAUUAUUCCAAAUUAGUCGUGAAGGUGUCAUAUGCUUUGCCUUUAUAUUCUUGAAUUUGUUUUGCCAUCUUCGAAAACAAUGUCCUAACAGAUUAGUUAAGAUCUGNNNNNNNNNNNNNNNNNNNNNNNNNNNNNNNNNNNNNNNNNNNNNNNNNNNNNNNNNNNNNNNNNNNNNNNNNNNNNNNNNNNNNNNNNNNNNNNNNNNNNNNNNNNNNNNNNNNNNNNNNNNNNNNNNNNNNNNNNNNNNNNNNNNNNNNNNNNNNNNNNNNNNNNNNNNNNNNNNNNNNNNNNNNNNNNNNNNNNNNNNNNNNNNNNNNNNNNNNNNNNNNNNNNNNNNNNNNNNNNNNNNNNNNNNNNNNNNNNNNNNNNNNNNNNNNNNNNNNNNNNNNNNNNNNNNNNNNNNNNNNNNNNNNNNNNNNNNNNNNNNNNNNNNNNNNNNNNNNNNNNNNNNNNNNUAGACUAGGACAGGUCUCGUUGAUUUGGGCCCAAUGGCCUAAAUCCUUUACUUUCUCCUCCCUUCCCUUUUAUGUGUUUAUUUGUUUAUUAGUUUUGUUUAGACUUAGUUAAAAUCCCUACUAAGUCGCCUAAAUCUAUCUUACACAAGUCUUUUUUCUAAAAAAUCAAUCACUUUUAAACAAAUUGAUCUUUUUAGUAGUUAAUCAAAAGGUGUUUUCAAAUAGUUCGGAUAACCGCAAGUUAGCAGACGUUUUAGGUACCUAAUACCUUCCUAAAACGUUAAUAGGAAUCACUUAUCUAGAAUCUCUAACUUAAAACGAUUUUUCUAUUUUGAAUCGUUUGAAGUAAAAUAAAAAGGUUUCUUAAUUCCUUUUCAAAAUUAAGUGGCGACUCUCUCAAAAGUCAAAAUUUCUCCGCAAAAUCGAAAUGGCGACUCUGCUGGAGAUCUUUAACUAGGUUCUAACCAAAUGAUUGAUUUCGUCUUUUGAUUAACUGUUUAUGUGUUCCGAUUAUGUAAAGUUUAAUUAUCGCAUCUCAUGGCAUAUUCCUACAUUAUUUAAACUAUUUUGGGGUUUCGUGGAUGUCUCGGCCCCUGUUGUUCAAUUCCAAAAUGUGUUGGAAAUACGAACAGCUUAUCAGCACGUGAGUCGUCUGACGCUGUUCGUAUUUUCAAACUCAAGUUGUCCGCUUGAGAACCAGUGUUCAAACCCACUCUAGAUACCUAGGAUAGAGCAAAACCAAAACCCUAUUUCAGGCAUGAGCCUAGGAUGACCCAAUACCCGAGCGGGGUACUGGGCCCAUUAGAAAGCCUGUCCUGCAUCUAUUGACCCCGAGUCAAUUAUAGACGAACCAUAUUUAUGUGUUGAAGAAAAUAUAUGUCUGUCUAAUUCAAUCCAUUAUCCUUUGGGGAUCGGGAAAAAGCUCGAUUUGCUUACUUUUGUAAGAAGAAUUGAAGCAAGACAAGCAAGAAAUUGAUCGAUUUGGGAGGUUGCAUCUAAGGCACAAUUUGAACGUCAACGGAUGUCACCAAUAAAAGAAGUGGACGAAGCUAAGAAGGUGGAGGUUGAUAGAAGAAGCACUUGGGGAAUUAGUAUUUUCUAUCCCCUGUGUGGGAACGUGUUUUCUUUCAUGUUAUUUCCCUUUCCCUAAAGAUUGUAUCCCUAUUUUGUUAUCGUUUGUAAGCAUUUAUGCCCUUUGCGUGUCUAUAUAAGUUAGAGGUUAAUGGAUUGACUUUAAGGAAUCAUAUAUUUUCUUCAAAAAUCGUUAGGCCUGAACCCUUGGCUCAAAAGGGCCACCCCAGCUAGGAUACGCGUUAUUAUAACGUUUUUGUGCUUAUGUGCGUAUGUUUCAAUCAAAGGCAAGUUUAUCCACUAUGUCCUAUGGACGAACUUGUCUAUGACUCAAACAACUCUAUGUGGUUAUUUCAUGUCAAAUAUUUUCCAUUAUUUCUAUUAUAUGGAAACUAACACAUCUGCCUUUGAGUUGUUUUACUUUACAGAUAACAAAAAUUACUCCGUGUUGAUAAACUGGCAGAACAUCCCUACUUCACCCGAUCGAAAGCACAGAAAAUCCCAUCUUCAGACUAUCAUUCAAAAAUGACAGAAAAUGACGAAGAAAGCGCACUGGCUAUCCGAGAUAAUGUGAUAGCGGAACAGAAUGAGAUGAUUGCGGAACUUGCAAGAAAAUUAGAAUUGCUUCAUGAGGAAAUAAAUCGCACUCGAGAAUUGGCUAACUUGGCCAUCACCGUCAAUGCCCUUGCUCUGGGGGGACAUGGGACUCCACUCCAAAUCCCUCCCCUCAGUACCCCUAUUCUCGGGGACCAACCAACUAACGUAUCAUCCGGCUCAUCUCCUCCAUUUGUCCAAAACACUAAUCGUGAAAAUAAUCCAGACGCCUACCAUCCACAAAAUCCAUCCGCAACCCCACAGAACCCGUCUUCGAAUCCAUUCCCAAAUCCUCAAAACACAUUCUCAAAUAAAAAAAACGCAUUCCCAAAUCCGCAAGAUUUACUCCCAAAUCCACAAAAUACGAAAAAUCUACCUUCGAAUCCACCAAAUUCAUUUCCAAAUCCACAAAAUCUCUCUCAUAUUCCGCCAAACUACUUACAAGGCCCACAUAACCUUUCCAAUUUCCAAAAUAUUCUCCCCACUUACCAACUAAAUUCCCUCCAUCUGUAAAAUCAAGCCUUCUUUCUAAAUCCUCCUCAAGCCGUCAUAUGCCCUGAUAUUUAUGAACCCCUUCCUAACCCUGAGAUGGAACAUUAUGAGGAGAAGGAAAAGGAAUGGAGGGCCCAACAUGAAAGGAAUUUACUAGCCAUGCAAGAAGAGAUCAUGAGGAUCAAAGAGUCUCACGGGGCCAAGGACCACGACGGUUUAGGGUAUGAAGAUUUGUGUGUUCACCCAGGAGUAGACCUACCAGAAGGAUACAAGGUCCCUAAGUUUGAGAUAUUUGAUGGUACCGAAAAUCCAAUGGCCCAUCUAAGAAGGUACUGCGAGCAACUAGUAGGGAUAGGGAAAAACGAGGCGUUAUUAAUGCACCUAUUCAGUCGAAGUUUGAAUGGUGAAGCCUUGGAGUGGUUCAUGUCUCAGGAGCCGAAAAGGUGGACUAGUUGGAAGACAUUGGCCAAGAGUUUCCUUGACCGAUUCGCAUUCAACAUUGAAAUAGUUCCUGAUCGGUAUUCACUAUAUCGGAUUAAGCAAAAGAGCGUUGAGAGUUUUUGAGAUUAUGCUUUUCAUUGGAGGAAAGAAGCUACCAAAGUGCAGCCCCCCAUGUCCGAGGAAAAAAUGGUAUCCGUGUUCUCUCGCACUCAAGAAGGAGAAUAUUAUACCAGAUGGUGUCCGUUGUUAAAGCGACCUUUGCAGAUUUGGUAAAAAUAGGAGAAUCAUUAGAGAAAGGUAUUCGGACAAGAAAAAUUGUCCAAACCCCGACAUCAUCUGGAACUGCCAUGUUUUCUAAGACGAAGAAGGAAGAGGUAGGUGGGGUUUAUACCAAUUCUGUUACAAAAUUAAAACAACGGUUCAACUCUAGAAAUGUUUUAUCUUCCCCGCCAUCACCUAACUUUCCGCACGCAUUCUACAUCCACCCCCAAUACUAAACUCCACUCCCAAACAUCCCACCAUCAUACCAAGCUCCACAGCCAAAUAUCUUUCCUUAAUACCCAGUUCCACCUCCAAAUUAUCAGUCUCAUUUCCAAACUACUCCCCCAAAUAGCUGAACAAAUUUUCAAACACCUCCAAAUUACCACCAAGUACCCCCUCCUACAAACCUAAGCCUGUAUAACCCCCAAGGUCCAAACCAUGAAAAGAAACCUCCCCAAAACUUCACCCCACUAGCUGAAAGUUACACCCAAUUGUUUGAAAGAUUGAAGAAUGCUGGUCAUUUGCAACCAGUACAGCCAAAGCCUGUCAAUCCUAGCUCCCAGUUUUAUCACCCUGAUCAAAAUUAUGCCUAUCAUUUAGGGGUAGUAGGGCAUAGUACCGAGGACUGUCUUAUCUUAAAACACAGAAUCCAAGAUCUGAUUGAUCAAAAGGUCAUCACUCUCCAGGCACCUACUCUAAAUGUUAGCAGUAAUCCACUGCCCAACCAUGGGGUAUCUACAGUUAACAUGAUUGAAAUAGAAGGCGAAUGGGCAUCUGGCAAGACCAUUACCCAGGUGAACUCCGAAAAGUACAAAAGGGCGGAAGAGGUAGAAAAGAUUGAGAAAGAUGUGGCUUCUUUAAGUAUCAACGAGAAAGCCUCAUUUAUAGUGAUGAGUGCACCGACUCAAGUGUACGCUCCCCCUCCAAAAAAGAAUUUAUUGUACAAACUGCCACUGCCCAGGGGAUGACAUGAUCAGGACGAUGUUACAUCCCUGAGGAAUUGACCAAUAAGAAAGAUUCAUAGAAAAGUCCAAUCACUGAAGGAGAGGCUGAGGAAUUUUGGAGGCGUAUGCAACCAAAGGAUUACUCAAUUGUCAAACACUUGGAGAAAAUGCCAGCCCAAAUCUUUGUCUUAGCACUAUUAUUGAGCUCAUAACACCACCGACAGACUCUGUCGAAGGUCUUGGAGAAAGUGUAUGUUCCCGCAGGAACGAGCGUUGAGAAUUUGACUGCGAUGAUAGGGAACGUUGUGAGGAACCAUCACAUAUAAUUCAGUGACGAAGAGUUGCCAUUUGAAGGAGCAAUGCACAACAAAGCCAUACAUGUCAUCGUUAUUUGUCAAGAUUAUGCAAUUAAUCAGGUAUUAAUAGACGACGAAUCUGGUGUGAAUAUUUGUCCCCUCUCCACGUUGGUCCAAAUGGGCUAUGAUCUGGGGAAAAUUCAUCAAAGCCACGUAAAUGUGAGAACAUUCAAUAGAGGGCAGAGAGAUACCAUAGGAGAGAUUGAUUUACACAUCCAAAUGGGGCCUGCUGAGUAUAGGACUAAGUUUCAUGUUAUAGAUAUCCAUCCUAGCUACAACCUGCUUUUGGGAAGACCAUGGAUACACGGGGCAAAGACAAUUUCAUUACCCCUUCAUAAAUUAUUGAAGUUCAUUUGGAAAGAUCAUGAAGUAGUCAUCCAAUGAGAAGGAAGUCGAGCGGAUUGUCCCAAGGGUUAUGUGCCAGUGAUUGAAGAUGUUCCAAAAGGUAGCAGUUUCUAUACAAUGGAAAUUGUAAAUGCUGCGAAAAGAGAUUUGACACCCAAAAUAUCAAUGCCUUCUGUCUACAAAAUGAUUGCAACUGUGAUGUUAAGAAAUAGGUUCGAACCUGGUCGAGGCUUGGGCAAGAAUUUACAAGGAAUUAUCGAGCCUAUUGUGAUCCCAAAGAGAAACUUUAAGCAUGGGUUAGGGUAUCAGCCUACCAGAAAAGAUAGGGUUGAGGAUAAGCCAGAAAAGAGUCUGUUUAGGGCCUUGCCACUCCUGUUCCAGUCGUUUCUCAUACGAGAGAUGUCAGAUGAUGAUGGUCUUGGGGGUGGGAUAAAAGAUUUGUUUGAAGGAUGCAAUGCUGUACCAGAAGAUCUCCUAGAGUCCAGCGGGGUAAAGCAGAUUGCGCCAGGGAAGGCUUUGCGAAAUUGGACCUCCUCUCUACUCAGAACCCGUCGCCCGUCGUGGUAGAUGAAAGGGCAAUUACUAAUAGUUUUGAAAUCAGUGAUGAUCUGAAGAAUGCCCCGCGAUCCACUUUUUAUAUCUCAAAACUUUAUUUUCGUAUCUUACUGCUUUCAAAAAAGGCGGGGGCUUGUAUUUGUGCAAGUCACAAGCAUGGUAUUGUAAUUAUUUCUCAAAUUUCAAUAAAAAGGCCUUCAUUUAUUUGAAAAACUAUAUUAGUUCUAAAAUGCUCCUAGUCAUAUGUUUUGUUAUUUUCUUGUCAUCUAACUUAAUUUGUUUGUCCAUUACAGUAACAGUAGCUUAAAACCUUCCAAUGUUGUGUCAUGUCAAAUCCUGAACGAACAAAAUAAAGGGGAAGAUGAUGGUUGGAAGGACGAUGAUGAGGAACGGUUAGUUGAAGAUAUGAAGGAAUUUGAGAAUCGCGAAAAACUCAAUCUGGAAGAAACUGAAACAGUCAACUUGGGAGAUCACGAUGAAAUCAAAGAGACCAGUAUCAGUGUCCACCUCGCGGCGCCACUAAGGGAAGAGCACAUCCACCUGAUGCGGGAGUAUAUCGAUGUGUUUGCUUGGUCCUAUGAUGAUAUUCCAGGGUUGAGCACCAGCAUUGUGUCACAGAAAUUGCUGAUAAAUUUUGAGUUUGAUCCAGUCAAGCAAAAAAUGAGAAAAUUUAAGCCAGAUUUAAGUAUAAAGAUCAAGGAAGAAGCUACAAAAUAAAUCCAGUCUAAGGUUGUUGAGGUCACAAAAUAUUCGAUAUGGUUGGCCAAUAUCGUCCCUGUGCCAAAGAAGGAAGACAAGAUUUAAAUUUGUGUUGACUAUAGAGACUUGAACAGAGCCAGUCUUAAAGAUAAUUUUUCGUUGCCCAACAUCCAUAUUCUCAUCGAUAACUAUAUAAAACAUGAAAUGCAGUCACUCAUUGAUUGUUUCACCGGCUAUCAUCAGAUACUGAUGGAUGAGGAAGAUGCCGAAAAAAUGGCUUUUAUUUAGCCUUGGGGUGUUUAUCAUUACAGGGUAAUGCCGUUUGGUCUCAAGAAUGCAGGUGCGACAUAUAUGAGGGCCAUGACGAUGAUUUUCCAUGAUAUGAUCCAUAAGGAGAUUGAGGUGUAUGUGGAUGAUGUAAUUAUCAAAUCCCAUGAGAGUUCGGAUCAUCUAACUCAUCUGGAGAAAUUCUUCAAUAAAUUAAGAAGGUAUAGUUUGAAGUUAAAUCAUGCUAAGUGUGCUUUUGGUGUGCCAUCAGGAAAGUUGCUGGGGUUCAUAGUCAGUAGAAGGUGGAUCGAGCUAGACCCAUCCAAAAUCAAGACAAUUCAAGACUUGCCACCGCCGAGGACCAAGAAAGAAGUUAUGAGUUUCUUGGGUCGUCUGAAUUACAUUAGCAGAUUCAUCGCUCAAUCAAUAGUCAUAUGCAAGCCAAUUCUCAAGAUGUUGAAGAAAAAUGCACUGAAUGAGUGGACAGAAGAAUGUCAGAGAGCUUUUGAUCAUAUCAAGGAAUACUUGUCUGCACCACCGGUUUUGGUCCCACCGAGAGAAGGAAUUCCAUUAUUGCUUUACCUGUUAAUCUCAGAAAAUGCUUUCGGAUGCAUCCUCGGGCAACAUGAUGAGACCGACAGGAAAGAGAAAGCCAUUUACUACUUGAGUAAAAAGUUCAAACCAUAUGAAGCCCGUUACACUCUUAUAGAAAGGAUAUGUUGUGCUUUGACUUGGACGACACAAAAGUUGAAGCAUUAUCUGUCGUCCUACACAACUUACCUCAUCUCGAGAAUACAUCCAUUGAAGUAUAUAUUCCAGAAGGCCAUGCCUACAGGAAAGCUAGCCAAAUGGCAAAUGUUGCUGAGUGAGUUUGACAUUGAGUAUGUAACCCAAAAAACAAUAUAGGGGCAAACCUUAGCAGAUCAUUUGGCUAAAAACCCUGUUGAUGAGGAAUACGAGCCACUUCGAACAUACUUUCCAAACGAGGAAGUUUUUUUCGUAGGAGAAGAUAUCACGAAAAUCUACCCCAGAUGGAGGCUAUUUUUUGAUGGGGCGGUCAACUUCAAAGGUUCAGGAAUUGGAGCAGUUUUGGUGUCAGAAAUGGGCCAGCAUUAUCCGAUAACUGCUAAGUUACGUUUUCUAUGCACCAACAACAUGGCUGAAUAUGAAGCUUGCAUCCUGGGGCUCAAAUUGGCACUUGAUAUGGGUGCUCGUGAAUUGCUAGCCAUCGAAGAUUCAGAUUUGCUGAUUCACUAGGUACGGGGAGAAUGGGCGGUAAAAAACUCCAAGAUUACUCCUUAUGUAGAGCUGGUGCAAGAAUUAUGUGGAAUAUUCAAGGGUGUUAAUUUCAGACAUAUCCCACUGACACAAAAUGAGUUUGCUGAUGUUUUGGCCACAAUAUCUUCCAUGAUUUAACACCCUGAUCAGAGUUAUGUUGAUCCUUUAGAAAUAAGCCUGAAGGAGUAACCCGCACAUUGCAUACACGUAGAAGAGAAGCCUGAUGGAAGGCCUUGGUACUAUGACAUUAAGAGGUAUUUAGAAUCUGGAAUAUAUCCUGAAGAGGCUAGUAACAACCAAAAGAAGACAAUCCGGCGUUUGGCAAAGAAUUACUUUCCAAGUGGAGAAAUUCUUUUUAGGAGGACUCCUGAUUUGGGAUUCCUAAGAUGUGUCGAUGCGGCGGAAGCCAAUAAGUUGAUAAAUGAGGUACACGCUAGAGUUUAUGGGCUCUACAUGAAUGGGUUUGUCCUUGCCAGAAACAUCCUGAGAACCGGUUACUUCUGGAUGACUAUGGAAAAUAAUUGUAGUAAGUUUGUGCAGAGAUGUCCAAAAUGUCAAAUACACGGAGAUCUGAUUCAAAUGCCUCCACACGAGCUUCACGUAAUGAAUUCCCCUUGGCCUUUCGUAGCUUGGAGCAUGGAUGUCAUCGGACCAAUAGAGCCACUAGCAUCGAAUGGGCAUAGAUUUAUUUUGGUUGCCAUUGAUUAUUUCACUAAGUGGGUUGAAGCUGCUUCAAACAGAGCCGUCACUAAGAAAGUGGUUGCAGAUUUCAUCAGGAACAACUUAAUUUGCUGAUUUGGAGUGCCGAAAUUAAUUAUUACUGAUAAUGGGACAAACCUGAAUAGCCACUUGAUGAAAGAAAUUUGUGAUCAGUUUAAGAUUGUGCAUCUCAACUCGACAGCGUACCGUCCCCAAAUGAAUGGAGCCGUAGAAACUGCUAACAAGAAUAUCAAGAAGAUCUUGAGAAAGAUGGUCGAAAAUGAUAGAUGAUGGCACGAGAUGUUACCUUACGCCUUGCUANNNNNNNNNNNNNNNNNNNNNNNNNNNNNNNNNNNNNNNNNNNNNNNNNNNNNNNNNNNNNNNNNNNNNNNNNNNNNNNNNNNNNNNNNNNNNNNNNNNNNNNNNNNNNNNNNNNNNNNNNNNNNNNNNNNNNNNNNNNNNNNNNNNNNNNNNNNNNNNNNNNNNNNNNNNNNNNNNNNNNNNNNNNNNNNNNNNNNNNNNNNNNNNNNNNNNNNNNNNNNNNNNNNNNNNNNNNNNNNNNNNNNNNNNNNNNNNNNNNNNNNNNNNNNNNNNNNNNNNNNNNNNNNNNNNNNNNNNNNNNNNNNNNNNNNNNNNNNNNNNNNNNNNNNNNNNNNNNNNNNNNNNNNNNNNNUGUAAUAAUGUUGUUUGCUAGUGUGUAACUGCCUAGAAUCCUUCUCCUUUAUGCACGAACUAAGUUUGACCUGAAUUCCCAAGAAAGGGAUACGUAGGUGGCCUAUGUCGGCUUUGGUUAACCCCUUAGGAAAAUUUAUCCUUUCCCCCUAUGUAUGAACUACGUGAUGACCUGAAUUCCAAAUAAAAGGGAUACGUAGGCGGCCCAUGUCGGCUUCGGUCAACCCAUUAAUUUCUUUUGUAUAUCCCUAGCAUAGCCUGAACUACGUUUGACCUGAUUCCUGCUUCAACGGGAUACGUAGGCGCCCCAACGGCUCGGUCAUAUAACCCAGGAAAGGAAAACUAGGGCAGAAUUUUUGAGAAGGAAUCUCAAAAAUUCAUAAGAGAAUAUCGACAUCCAACAAAGAGAAGGAAGAUCAGCAAAGACUUCAGAUCCACUCAGAUUGGUAUUAUCUCAAACAAGUUUAAACUGGGGCAGAAAUUUUGGGGAAGACCUAAAAAUUUCCACCAAAUACAGGAACAUAUUCCAAAUUCCCCAGCACCAGAGGUUAAAGCUUUGGAAACCACCAACUGUAACAAAGUCUGGGUAGACUCAAUUUUUGGCUAUGAUAGAACUACUUGAAGAAACCCUCUAACAAUAAUCAUGAGUUUUGGAAACCAUCCAUCGGAUAUAGUCAGAACCGCGAGGAAGACGUUCAUUGAGCUAGAAUAUGACAUGACUGGUAGAAAUUUUCUAAAAUUUUAUAGAAGUUUUCAAAAUUAUUUUCAAAAAUUGAAGACUAUUUUCAAAAAUCUUACGACUCACUUACUUAGUACUUGCCUAGACAUCAUUUGGGAUAGAGUGUCAAGGUGGAAGUCUUAAUAUGGUGGAAUGCCCAAGAGAUGGCAAGGAGCAAAUCAAGGAUCGAAGAAGGUCAACAUGGAGUAAUUUUAUUCAACUAAUCAUUUUUCUGUGGAUACAGGGAUCAAUACGCAAAAUGAGAGUCUCUUUCAAAAAUUCCCGAGCAAAUUGGGAGCCACAACAGAUCAUUAAUGCCUAAGAACAGUAUUUUAGGGCAUCCCUAAAAAUAGGUUUAAUUCCCAUUUAUUGAGGACCUUUUGAUUUGUCCAUCUCAUUUCUUAAGAUCGUAGGCGACAAACAAAAGCACUUUGUUUUCUUUACACGUAUCGUAUUUAGAAGUUUCCUGAAAACAGUCGCUAGUAAAAGCGACUUUGUGUCUACUAAUCGUCUACCUUGAGUACAGGUACAUAUAGAAAACAAGACAUUGACAAAUAAAGCCAGGUAAAAUUAUUUUAUCACUACCACAAUGGCCAUUGCAUAUCAUUGCCGCAAAGGCCAUCACAUAUCAUUGCCGCAAAGGCCAUUAAAUAUCUGUUGACGCGCUAGACACAACGCUGGCAUUGAGGAUAUCAUCAGCAUUCAAUAUCUGUUGACGUACUAUACAUAAUGCUGGCGUCGAGGAUAUCAUCAUCAUUCAAUAUCUGUCGGCACGCUAGAUACAACGCUGGCAUAGAGGAUAUCAUCAGCAAACAAUAUAUCUGUCGAGACGCUAGACACAACACUGACAUUGAAGAUAUCAUCAGCAUCCAAUAUAUCUGUCGACACGCUAGAAAUAAUGCUGCAUAGAGGAUAUCAUCAGCAUCCAAUAUAUCUGUCGACAUGCUAGACACAACGCUGGCAUCGAGGAUAUCAUCAGCAUUCAAUAUAUCUGUCGACAUGCUAGAUACAACACUAGCGUAGAGGAUAUCAUCAGCAUCCAAUAUAUCUGUCAACACGCUAGACACAAUACUGGCGUCGAGGAUAUCAUCAACAUUCAAUAUCUGUUGAUGCGCAAGACACAACGCUGGCGUCGAGGAUAUCAUCAGCAUUCAAUAUAUCUGUCGACACGCUAGACACAACGCUGAUGUCGAGGAUAUCAUCAGCAUUCAAUAUAUCUGUUGACACGCAAGACACAACGCUGGCAUCGAGGAUAUCAUCAUAUUUUCAUGAAUCAACAUCUGAAUAUAUUAAGAGCAUACGAUUUGGAGGGACGCCUUCAGGUCGCUAUCUAAGGAUGAAUGAUAUAUAAGAUUUCCUAGCAAUUGACAAUUUGAAGGUCAUCUAUAAGUCAUAUUAUUUGAAAUAGGAUAGUGUGUAAGAUCAUCUAUGAGUGGAUAGCCUGUAGGUCAUUCCUAAGCCACAAUAACAUCCUAACCGGAUAGUGUGCAAGAUCGCCCAAAAGUUGAUAGUUCAAAGGUUAUCCGUAAGUCGCAACUAAAUCCUUACCAGAGGAUAUGCAAGAUUGUCAAAUUGAUACGUCCAAGGGUUCUCUAUAAGCCAUGUCAUAUCCAAGAUCGAUUAUGUGCAGGAUUACCCAAAGACGAUCAAUUUGAGGGAUUAUCUAUAAGUCAUAUUGUAUCCUAGGUCAGAUGAUGUGCAGGAACACCUGAAAGCUAGCGAUUGGAGGGAUAUCUAUAAGUCAUCUCUUAUCCAGAGUCGGAUAAUGAGCAGGAUUACCUAAAAGCUAGAAAUUCAAAGGAUAUCUGUAAGUCACCUCGUAUCCAACAUCAAAUAAUGCGCAAGAUCAUCUGAAGAUUGACAAUUUAGGGAAAAUUUAUAAAUCGAUCAUCGGCUACAACCGGAGAGGUUAUCAUGCCCCAUACAACAAGUGAUAUAGGUACAAUAAAGGAUAACUUCGCUUUUCAGGCCACAACUCACGUGUAGAUAUGGUAAAAGAUUACUUACCUCUUUCGUGAAUUAUGUUUAACAUUAACACUUUUUGCCUGAAGCAUUGUCGAGAGCAUUCGAGAGGAUGAAAAUCUGAAAUCAAAACCACAGGUGCGGACGACUCCAAAAAGGAUGCAGCACAACGUGAAACUCCUUGUCAACAGCAAAACGGGAGUCAGCAGCAAAACGGGACAUAGUCUGGAGAGGGAUGUCAAACUCUCUAGACGUGAGCUAAAUAAUGAUCACCACCACCAUUUAACCACGCCUCUAUUAGAAGGCAUGUGGGUAUUUUUCAAAUAUUAUGGUCUCACCUUUACCUCUGGGAUAUUUGUUAACUCAUACUGAGGGGAACUUUUUUCUUCUUUCAAAUUCGGGUGGCAACACACUUAGAGUUUUGGAAAUUAUUCUUACAUAAGCUCUUACCUAUGGAUGUGAAGAGCUCUACGUUCAUGGUUAAGAGGUUACAAGCCUUUUUUCCGCAACUCGAUUAACUUGUCACUCAUCCCAAGCUAAAGAUCAUCUAAAAUAAAAGACUAUCUUUUCUACCAAUUGAGUCGAACUACAAGCAGUCUGAUUUCCUGAGUCUCGAGGAUAUGUAGGCUGGACUCUAUGUAGAAAACUCGACUGCAUUUCAAUUUUCCCCUAAAUCCCUGUAUUCCCCACUUCUCGGUUUAACCAAAACACUCUAAAACUGUGAUAGUUGGUGAAUUUUCUUGAAGAUCGUGAUCAAAAUCAAACUUUAUGAACUACAAGUGGCCUGAAUUCUCAUGAACGAUCAAAAUCAAACUUUAUGAACUACAAGUGGCCUGAAUUCUCAUGAACCCAGAGAUAUGUAGGAAACCUGAUACCGAGGUUCAGCCAUAAUUCCUGAAACUCGUGCAGAAAACCAACCUCUUUUCAAAACAAAUUUGUGAUCGGACAAAUAUUAGGAACGUCAAUCUUCCUUUGCCCAGAGUUACUUACAUCCACCCUACCCAAAGGGAGGGGACAGUUAUUGACACCUAAUUUUUUUCCUCCACAACUACGUUUAAUCUCGAGUUUCUUCGAUUUUUAAAUAAAACUACAACAAUUAUUUUUCCAAAUAAAUGCAUUUUAAAAUAGGUAGUUGGGCUAGUUUUGUCAUUCAGGUGAUAAUUAUUUAUUUUUGUAUUUGCAUGGUAUAAAUGAUGUCAUUUAAAUGAACAUUUUCAUCAAAAUUGGAUUUUUAAAUUUAGGAUUAUUUGAAAAAUAAUUUUAAUUAGAAUGGGUUAAAUGUUAAUUGAAACUAUUUUUCUAAACUAUGUAUCCCAAUUUUAAACUCAAUUUUGCCAAACACCAGCAGCCCAAAACUAAUCCAAUAUCAGCCCAUGCCAACAAUAAACCCAAUUCCCAACCGUCCCACUCCUCUCACCAACUCAACAACAAAUUAACAACAACAGGCCCAAUUCCUUAAAGCCACCAGCCCCUAAAUCGGCCCAAAUUCAAACACUUAACCCGACCCACCACUUCACAUUUUCUCCUUCAUCAAACAUCGGGACAACUCAUACAGUGGUAUCAUAAAAAAAAUGAUGACCUAACCCAUACAUGCCCGACCCAUUCAAACAAUGGGAAAUUCACCGGAUUCUAACCCGAAGUCACCACCUCCAACCCUUUCUCGUCCCAAAUACGUUAACCCGGGGUCGAAUUAACCCAUUGGUGACCUUCUUCAUGCAUUCACGCAUCCCACGCAUAUCCGUACGAAGAAGAUUCCAAGAAUUUUCUAGAAAGGGGGUGAGGUGUCACCCCCAAUGGUUCAGGUCCGUGAAUAUCGGGUGUAGAGUACGAUUUGGUACAUAUUUGGUGAUUUUUCAUUGGUCCUUGGAGGAGAAUUGGUUUUCCCCAAUUCUAUUGGUCCACCAUUUUGAAGAAUACAAAAUUUGGUACCAAUGCGAGAUGAAGGAAAAGCUGUGAAAGAUUCCAAAAAUUUUGAAAAAGGUGAUCCAUUUUUUCCAAACCCUUAAGGGACCCCUCCUUAUUGGUUUUGUUAUAAAUAGACCUCUUGGUCGCCGCAACAGGAGAGAUUUUUUUUUGUUUUUGGGGGGGAGUGGAAAAACUGAAGGUUAGAAGUUCUAGGGUUCUUGGGAAAACUGAAGAAUUUUCUUUCGAGGGACUGGUUCAAACAGUGGGGUCAAAACUGUGAAAAAUUUCUCUUUCGUUUUUAUUUUUGAGAAGCUGAUCGAUCAAUCAAAAAUUCUUGAUUAGACAACCUCAACUCUCGGUGGUAACGGUCCUACUGAUAGCUCGUCGUCCCGUUUUGCCGCUCCCUGAAAGGUAACGUCCUAUUCCUUUAAGCUUAAGAUUGCUUCUGCUUCAUCUCACUAUUCUGUAUUCCUAAGCAAUUUAAGCUUAUCUUGUAUGCUAUGCUGACUGCUGUAGAGGUUUCAAAGACCAUAUAAGUUUUCUUUUUUAGUGAAAAGUUUUGGAUGUAUUGUUAUGUUAGGAUUAAUUCUUAUUCAGAUUAUAUCACGUCAUUUCCAUCUGUUCAUUUUUUUAUCUUGGUUCCAUAAUCUGUCAUCCACUUUUGGUGUUGUGGAUUAAUCUUUGGCUUAAUGCCUCUCUUGGCGUAUUGCUUGUGGCUAGAAUGAUUGGUUUUCUGGCUAAAGUCUGUUGCUUUUAGUUUAUUUAGCAAUUUCUAGCCAGAUGUUGUUUGUUUCGUAGUUGUUGUUUGACUGUGUUGAUCAUGUGGUUACCACUAGUUGCUGUCACGACUGUCGAGCUAGCAGUGUUGCUAGCAAGACCACCUCGUAGGCUCCUUUGGUUUAUUAUAUGCCAAAGGAAAAAUGAGAGUAAGGUCCAAAAAAUGUACCAAAAAUCCUAGGAUAUCUCAAUGACCGUUUCGUUCGACUCGGUCGGAAAGAGGAGGAGGAUUGAAACAUUCUGUGGUUUUGCUUGCCAUCACUAUUUGUCGUUAUCGUCACUGUUGAACCGGUAAUGUUCCAUCUUGUGGCCUCUGUUUUCCUUGUUCUUUCUUUUCUCUAUUCCAUAGCCGGGGUAAUUUUCUGAUUUUCAUGUCGUUACUCAAGAUUCCAUUUUUUAUUUUGGUGGGUGUUGAUUUUGCCUGGGUUGAAUUAUAUUCAAAGUUUGAAUAUUGUCAUGAGAUCAGUGUUUUCUUUCCUUAUAAUCAGAAGAUUUAAAGACUCCCCAUGCGUAUGAGCAUGUUAAAAAUGUGUGUAUAUAUGAUGGCGUUGCAUUCUACAAUUCGCGUUGUGUUUCUAAUUGUGUUAAUGAAAGAUGGUUAAUGCCUCUGUUUCAGGCAUUUGUUUAUGCUAGAGAAUGUCUUGAAGUCAUGUUUUAGGUGUUGAUUGGUUCUCCGUUGCGAUUGAGUGCCAAUAGAUGUAAAACGUGUGAUUUCCCUGAGAAGAUUUUAUGUUAAAAUCCUAGCUUUGGUUUAAAUAUUUUCCAAGAAAGAGCCUUUGUUUGGGCUAUGAGCUUUCUCCCAACUAUUUAUUGUCCUUUAAUGAGUCUUCUCAACGUGGGCUAAUCUUAUCGCUAUGUGCAUAAGCAAUUAUUCCAAAUUAGUCGUGAAGGUGUCAUAUGCUUUGCCUUUAUGUUCUUGAAUUUGUUUUGCCAUCUUCGAAAACAAUGUCCUAACAGAUUAGUUAAGAUCUGCGUCAUGUAGUUCUUUAGUUAAUCACGUAUUCUCUACCUUCAUAUAUUUUUCUAUCCUAGUUUAGUCGCAUACCAGCCUUUGUGAAUUUGCCUACUUUAUUGAUUAUUGAAGAUCCGUAUGCUGCCAUUUUUAGUUAAACCCACAUUAAUUUCCUUUAAUUUCUUUCCUCUUUCUUUGGUCAAUCAUAUGUUAAUAUUAUUUUUCCCUUUGCAUAUUUCCAAGGGCCAAUGCGGCCGACCCACUUCUUCUAGCCGAUUCCAAAGACCAAGUUCGAAGUUAGUCACUUGACGUAUGGGCGCAAGAAGAUAAAAGAAGAAAAAUGGGUUAAAUUCCCAUAUUUUAAGCGACAAAAAGAUGCGAAAGUCUAAUUUGUCGUUUUAUUUAUUUAAGCAUUAACACCCUUAUUUUAUUUAUUUUACUUAUUUAAUUAUUCAUUCAUUUCGGCCUCGAAGCCAAAGUUGUACUUAACAUAAGUGAAGCAAAAACUCGAGCCAAAGGGCUCGAAAACAUAAAAAUAGGACAGGCGAAAGGAGAAAUGGGUCGGAAGCCCAACUAGACUAGGACAGGUCUCGUUGAUUUGGGCCCAAUGGCCUAAAUCCUUUACUUUCUCCUCCCUUCCCUUUUAUGUGUUUAUUUGUUUAUUAGUUUUGUUUAGAAUUAGUUAAAAUCCCUACUAAAUCGCCUAAAUCUUACACAAGUCUUUUUUCUAAAAAAUCAAUCACUUUUAAACAAAUUAAUCUUUUUAGUAGUUAAUCAAAAGACGUUUUCAAACAGUCCGGAUAACCGCAAGUUAGCGGACGUUUUAGGUGCCCAAUACCUUCUUAAAACGUUAAUAGGAACCACUUAUCUAGAAUCUCUAACUUACAACGAUUUUUCUAUUUUGAAUCGUUUGAAGUAAAAUAAAAAUGUUUCUUAAUUCCUUUUCAAAAUUAAGUGGCGACUCUCUCAAAAGUCAAAAUUUCUCCGCAAAACAGUUAGUAGUUGGCGGUGUUGAUUGUAAUAACUUAAAAAUGAAUAUCUGAUGGUUGAUUAUGUGUUGGUGGAGAUAUACUAUUGCAAUGAUGGUGGUUGAAGCGGUGGUAGAGGUGGCGACACUGGUGACAAUGGUGGUGGUCGAAGAAUGUGUGAAUGCUGAUGAUGUAUUAGUGGUAGUUAGCGGUGGUGCUAGUUGUGAUAGAUGAGUUGGUUAGUAGUUGGGAUUGACCGAUAGUGGUUGAUGAUGGUGGUGGUGUUGGCAUUGGCAUUGGCAUUGACAGUGCUGAUAACGACGAAUAUAAUUAAAAUAAUGGAGGUGGUAGAUAUGGUAGGGGCUGAAAAUAGUGGUUAGCAGCAAUUAUGAUUAUGAAUGGUGGCUGUGAUAGUGGAGGUGGUUGGUGGUGGUGGUGGUUGGUGGCAAGGUGGUGGUUGACAAUGGUGGUGGUGGUAGAGGUGGUUAGUGGUGGUGAAUGAUGAUUAUGGAUAGAGUGGUGGUGAAUAUUAUCUAACACAAGAAUACCUCUUAAUGAUUAUAACUUAAUUCUAGAUCUGAAUGAUCAAGACCUAUUCAAAUCUAUUAAGAGCCAAAAUCUUAAUGAAAAACAAAUGCACAUAAUGAUCUGAAGCCUGAAUCAUUCAGAUUCAGACGUUCAUUAAGUGCAAACAAAUGAGGCCGAAGACAUUCAUACCAUGAGAUUAGAUAUGCUGGCCAAAAUCAGCUGGAGGACUCAAUAUUACAGACUUGUGUCUUUAGAAUAAAACAACUAUUUUAAAGCACAAAUAAGUUGUGGAUCAUGUGGGCGCAUAUCUAUUACUUGAAGGGAGGAGAUCUUGGGGUACAUUGACAAAGCAUGUCUCUUGGAUAAUUCAAAAAAUAUUAUAAGCAUGCUGCAUGCAAAUGGUUAUCUGAUGCACUAAACACAAAGGAGGUUACAGGGGCAG
rnacentral:lncRNA from 1 species